rfam:Ictidomys tridecemlineatus contig071408, whole genome shotgun sequence.
UGGGGGGUGGCUCAGUGGUAGAGCACUUGCCUCGCAGGUGUGAGGCCCUGGGUUUGAUCCUCAGCACCACAC